UUUUUUUUUUUUUUUUUUUUUUUUUUUUGGGUUCCAGUUAUCCUCUCAGUUCGAGUACCUCCAUAUUUUUGGAGUUAAUUAUACUCAAACCCCUGAGGUUCGACCAUCUUGUGAGUUAAACCUACAUGAUUGACAAUAUUAUGAAAAGCUCCUCCAUCAUGAUAAACUUAUAAUUGACACCUCCUACCGUUGCCUUGCUAAUGCUUCCAGUUAAUUUUCUGGUAAUGGCAACUGCCGUGUUUUAUGAAAGUCCCAUAUCACCCCCCGUCAUGCCCAAGUUCUCAUUCUUUCCUUUCCAGUCAAAAUCAAUAAAUCACUUACGACUAUCGUUAAAAUUUUCAUUUUCGUUUAAAGACAACAAUUUAAACUCAUAUUCUAUCAAUACUUUCUAUUUGUUGGGCUAAGAAAUGCUUACUCGUAAGAGUAUGAUUGUAAUACGACCAAACCUCACAGUUGGUUCUAUAUUUUAGUUAAACUCAAUGGAUGUAAUUAUAAUUAACUCAUAUUUCUAAGAUAAGGUUAAUUAAAAAAUAAUUAAUUCAUAUUUCUCAUAUUUUUUUAGCAAUACAUAGUCAUGCACCACUACUCUUGAAUACUAAAAAAUUACUCAGCCUUAAUUCUAAAUUUUUGUAAAACCCUAAACCCAAGUCAAAAGAUAAGUUUAAUAAAUUCAGUUGAAAAAAGAAUAUAAUUUCAUUCUAAAAUUAUUUUCUUUUUGUGGCCCAUUAAUUGCCAUAGCAAAUCAAUUUAAUAAGGCUUUUCUUCUCCAGUAUUUCUUUUAACUUUAACUUAUCUAAAUGGUGCAAGAGCUACCAUAAUAACUAAAAGGAAGAAAAUAAAAAAGGCAUUAGCCUUUCCUUUAACUUUUAGAAAUUUUGGCUAAUUUUGUUUUUAAUAAAAAAUUUAAUAAUUGUUAAUUAGGCUAAGAGAUCCUUUAGUAGUUUUAUGUACAUUGGUCCAAACAAUAAAUGUUAAAAUUUUAAAAUUAUAAAUAAUUCCUAAAACUCGUAAAAAUUACCUGAAAAAACUUUACGAUGGAGAAAAUCACUUUUUGUCAAAUAAGUGUUUUAAGUCAUAAUUUUGAGGCUAACAGUUAGAAAAUUAAAAAUUUUAUUAAAAAAAUUAUUAAGCAUCUUAAACUUACCUAAAACACUAUGUAAUAAAGAUUUUUCUUUUGUUUUGUAUUUUGAAUGCACCUCAAAUAAAUUUUUUAACAUAUAGUGAUUGUACCUUUAAUACACUUGCUACUACUGAUUUUGGCACAUCAAAUUUACAUCUUUAGGUACUUAUUUCGCCUUUUGUUAAUAAUCUUUUACUAAUAUAUUUGCCAAAUUGUACAAAAAUUAAGAUAACAUAAGGUAAUUUUGAAAUGAAAUUAUCUUCUUUCUCCUAAAAUGAGUUUUUUUUUUAAUGUUAUAUUUUAAAAAUUCUGACAAUGUUAUAAAAAGUCAAAAUUAAGAGAGAUUUGUGAUAUUUUUGAAAGUUUAAGCAUGAGAAGUAAAACUAUGAGAAACUUAAGGGGUGGUUUUAGAAAUUAUCCCAAAAUGAAAACCAUGUCAGCGUGUUCUUAGCUUUUGGUCUGGACGGUUAAGGACCGUGACAUAAUCGCUGACGAAGGCAACGUACAUGAUGUAAGAAUAUUGGGGACAUUGACACUGUCCGCUCGAGUAUUGACCUUUUCUGGUGACAGAAGUUUCCUGCGCUUCUAGACUCGUUAACGCGAAACAAGUAGAUUAGCAUCUAAGUCAUUUACAUCCAGCUGAACUGCAUUAAGUAAAAUUUGUUUUUUUGGGGGAUAAAAAUUAACCCUUGUUUGGAAAGUUAUUUUUACCAAAAAUUUUGUACGUUUUUUGUAAACACGUUUUUUUUUUCAAUUACCUUCUUAUUUUAAAUAUAUCAAAUUGGUAUAUAUAUAUAUAUAUAUAUAUAUAUAUAUAUAUAUAUAUAUAUAACAAAAAUUUCAAAAAAUUGCAAUUCAAAACAAAGCCUAAAUUUUUUAGAGAUACAAAGUAAUGCUUGUCAAUUUUCCUCUAUAACGUGGAUUUAGUAAAAUAACAAAAUUAAUUGGGAAAAAAAAACUGAAAAGUCCUUUUUACACUACUAUGUCAUUAUCUGUUUGUUGUAUUUGAGACAUUCAUUGUUCUCAUCAAUAAAUGAUCACAGGAAUGCUGACUCGAAAUGUAUAUCUUGAAAUCCGGAAUCCCAUUCUUAUUCUUUAACAUUUUUUUUUUGUUUCUUUUUUCUUUGUUGAGGGUUUCAAUGUUGGUUAAUAGUAAGCAAGUAGGACACUUGGAUGCGAUUCUGUACUACUAUUUCAAACCAAACGAACAAUGACCUUACCAAAGAAGUAGCCAUGAACCUCAGCAAUCACAGAGAGUUUGUUUGGAUAAGAGUUUAUUUGGAUGAUUUAUUUGAGAUAUUUACUGUAGCACUUUUUGUGAUGUGAUGUAUGAGAGAUAAAAAAGUGAUUGUGAAGAUAAAAAGGUGAUUGUGAGAAUAAAUUUUGCAAACCAAAUUCUCUCUAUCCAAACAAACUCAGAGUAUUUAUGGUGGUGGGUGGAAUGAUUUAGAAAUCGGAUAAUUUGAAAUUGAAUAUGUGGACAUAAAUUUUAACAAGUGAUAAAAGUAUUAUUAUGUUUUUGCAUGUCGUUGUCUUUGUGUCAACAUUAAUUAAUUUAAUAUAUAUAUUUAUUGUAUUAAGAUCUAUGAAUCUCUGGAUAGACAUUCUACCAUAAAUUAUAAUAAUUUUUGACUUAGCAGCUAAAAAUGAAUAAAAGGCGCGCCAGGUACGUUCCAAAAUCCAAGACCCUGAUGAUCCAGAGUUUGGGCAAACGGGCAUGACAAUUGUGAGGUUUGAGUGCCAAGAACUACAAAUAGUAGUAUAGCCACACGUGCCAAUGAUGGCUACUGUUGAAGUUUCAAGAGCUAGAGUCCCGAGUUUUUUUUUUUUUUUUUUUUUUUUAUACCGUUUUUCAAAUUCCAUCCAUCUCAUGCUAUAAAAAAAAAAAAAACCCAACUAAUUAUCAGUGAAAAGUUAUCUUGAAUCUGUUCAUAGCUUCCAAGACGAAGAAUUACAUUGGCCCAUAAUCAUGACAUAUGAAUCUAGAAAUCCAAAAUAAUCUCUGCCAGACAGAUAAUGGUAAUGGUGCUAAUGGGACGUCAAAAUUUUGAACCCCAUCAAGCUGUUGAAAUGUGCAAAAGGCGUUGGAAGAGCUUGGGGAUUCCGGUGAAGUGAAAGAAGAAAAUUUAUUUCUAAAGCUCAAUUAUCGGUGCCGUCAAUGGCGUACUUAACGUGGUAAAAAUUCCAUCGAUAACAUCAAAAAUUUAGGAGAGCUAAUGACUUGGUUCAUAAGGGAAAGGAAAAUGCACAAGAGCUUCAAACUUAGCACAAAACGCUAAUGAUAGGCGAGGAGGAGGUAAACCGUUGCUCAGUCAUUUUCAACACUAACUGUGGAAAGAAAAAACGUACAACCGGGGAAGAUCCUGCUAUCUAUGCUUUUAUACAACCAAAAAUGCGGUUCUGAAUCUAAACCGCGCGGCACUACAUCUUUCUUUGCUGUUCUUUCUUUAAUCACAAGAAAGAGUACACUCGAGUCCCUGCAAGCUGGAGAACCAACAGUCAGUGGAUUUAGAGCAAGGAAACAGAUGAUUCUACCAACCAGAUGCAGCCCUAUGCUCAUAUGGCAGUCUGCUCAAAACGGAUUCUUCAUACAGCAAAUUUGAGCAAAUUCUUCCAGUUAGUCAUCAUCCUCUGAGUCUGCGUUGAGAUGGAUAUAUGUUAGCAACUCCUUCAUGUAUUAUACAUUCUAGUGGGAAAGUCACAAGGUAUGUGUGGAUUUUCAAAAGAUUGAUAAGCAAAAACUUCUGAAACGUUAUAGGUCUGUAUUAGUAGUAAAUUGAUAUUGUAUUAAAUCAGUAAUUUUAACAUUAUUAAUGCAUGAUGAGGGUAGAAAAUAGAAAUUCAAAAUGUUAAGACUACAGCAAUUGUUCCCGGUAACACAAUAUAUCAAAUUGAAGCAGGUCAUCACUUUAUGAAGACGCAAAAGAUAAUCCAAAUGAAAUUAUUAAGGCAUCUUAAUCACUGUGGAUAAAUUAUCCUAUACUGUAAUCACAAAGGAAAAGUCAACGCCUAGGAACGGAAAAAUUAAGACUGGCACUUCCCAUAAUUUGGAAAGUGUGGGAACUUCAAUAUAACCAUGUACCUCCAAGUAUAAGAUUAUUAUGUGGAAAAAAAAUUCAGUCAUACUUCAAAUCGAAAUCCAACUUCAACUCUUCUGAUGUAUGUUUCUCAUGCAGAUCUUAAUUAUUCCAUAUGCUGCCAGAUUUUUACCUAAAAUGCCCAUUGAUCCACCAAGGCCUGAGAAAAGGAUGCUAAAAAAACUGAGCAGCAUCAAAAGACUCGCGCAAAGUGUAGGUCACUAAAGUGGUAAAGGUCGAAAAGCUAACUUUCCCUUUUUUCCUAAUGUCGAAGGAAAAAGAAAAGAAAAAGGUAUUAAUACUUCAUCCCCUAGUUUAGAUUGUAUUUUCUUUACUAUCUUCUUAAAUGAUUAACCAAAAAAAAAAAACUUCUCCUGAUAACUUGCAUGUAAACGAUCAUAAACAAGUAAAAAACAGAAACACAACAAGGUGAGAGCACAAGAGUUCAGUUCCAGAAAAACAUUUUCUUCCUGUCAAAUAAAACAUAUUUGGCAAUUUCAACAAUACUUACCAGAACGUAUAUCUUCUCCAACUUUUCCCCUGUUUUUUAGCUGUCUCAUGAUCAUUGCACAUAUGAGAAACCACCAGUAAAUGUGGAAAACAAGCAGCGUCAAUAGCAUUGUGUUGAACACAUAGUACAAGGAGGCAUGAUAAGUGUCUGAUAAAUUGAGGCACAAAAGUAUGUAAUAGCUGGGGGAAUGACAAUGACAAAUUAUUAGCAGAAAACAAUCAGAAUAUGAGAAUGAAAACUAAAACAAAAUACCUGUUUGAGAAGCAAACCUUGAAGAUCUUAUGACCCAAAAUGGAAAGUAUAUAAGCCUCAGUACAAGCCAUGAGAGAGCAAAUAACCCAAAGCAUACACUAGCUCCAAAUUCCUUCUCAGAAUAUUUAAAAACUUUAGCAGCUUCCAUGAAGACAUCGCUUGCAUCAUGCAAAGCAAGAAUAAUAGAGCCAAUUCGGAAAAACCUACAUGGAUCAAAAGUUAAAUAUUUCAAAUUAACAUAUCCAUGGCUUAACAUGAUAUCUAUAACCACCAACUGAAGUGAAAAUAAUGCAAAUAUGAUCCUUUUUUUUUACUUUGAAGUGAUUAAUAAAGUUCUGCAGCCUUUUCGAGUAAAGAGGAUAUGCUCUCUGUUGUCAUGUUCAAAGGACAUACUCCAAAGUGUCAGAUGAAAAAAACAUUGCUAGAGGCACAAAUGUACCUUGUAAUAUAUGAAUAGCUAAUCAAGAUAACAGUGACAACAUGAUGGGACAUCAUCACCGCAAAAUCUUUCCUGCGUGUUUCCCAAGUAAGUAGAGCAGAAAUGCUGUAGAUGUAGAAGCCACAUUGACACAUGUAGAUGAGCUUUAUAGAGGGCCUGCAAUGUGAGACACAAUCAAGUGAUUUGAGAUAGCAAGAUUACGAACAAGUAAGAACCCAGGCUAAGAGCAAACAACAAGAAAUUUCUUAAAUCACAGAAUUACUAUUCCUCAGAUAGAAAUGAAGCAUAAACCAGAGACUGUUCCCAACAAACUAGUGUUAGAAAAUAUUUAAGUAUAAAAUAAAAUUAUCCCAAAAAAUUUAAUGUCACUUCCAAGAAUCAGGUUUCUGUUUCAAAGUUGCAGUGAUCUGUGGUAGAGUCUCCCAGGACAUUGGCAAGGUCUUGUUGGUAACCUCCCACAAGACGAGAAAAAGAAAAACCCAAACUACAACAGUAAAGCUAUUCCAUGAGAUAAGAACAAAAUAUACUUGGAAAUUGUGCUAGAAAACAUAUGUAGCCAUUUGAAUUUUAAACGUACCAAGUAUGUUAGGAUCUUCUAUUAAACUUAACUUUAGAAUAGCAGUUAGACCUUCUCAGCUGGUUUAAUUUGAAGUAACUACAUUAGAAAUUGCAGCCAAGAACAAGAAGCUUCAUUAAAGGAGAUUAAAGUAAAACCAAAAACGUUUCUUAGUAUUAGAAGGUCAAUUUUAACAACAUCUAUUCCACACUACUUCACAGACAAGUUAGCAACAUAUUAACUGACAAGCAUGGACCCACCUGAAAUAAAAGAUACUCUCUCUGUUCCAUUGUUAAUGUCCUGUUUCUAUUUUUUUGAUAUCCCAAAAUAUUAGUUGCUUUCCAAUUUUGCCAUUUGAAAAACUUUUCAAAUCUCAAUGAGUUUGUUUGGAUGAUUUAUUUGAGAUAUUUACUGUAGCACUUUUUGUGAUGUGAUGUGUGUGAGAUAAAAAGGUGAUUGGGAUUUGUGAGGCAAAAUUUUUUUUCCCAAAUUCUCUCUAUCCAAACAAACUCAAUACACAUUUACCAAGCAGAUAUUUAGAAUUUAAAGGUUACAUAUGUAAAUUGAUGCAAUGCCACCCAGUCUAGACACAACAAUUACAUGUCUCCAUAAAAAGUUGGGUUCCACCAAAAAAUGACUCUAAUUAUGGGUCUGAGAGAAUAUAUUAUACUAACAAAACAUUUAAUACAUUUCAGUUAAAGUAAAUUUACCUUUUGGACCUCAUGUAAAGAGCUAUAGAAAAUUGUUACACCAGAAGUAUGCAUGCCCAACAAUGAGUUAAAAUUUCAGUGAGACCCUACAAUAUUUGUAUUUAUUGAUCCAACAGAUAUAAAGCACAGCAUCAUUUAUUUCCCCAAAAAAUAGAGGAGAUUUUUAUCAAAAAAUAUACGAAAAUAGAAGGUAAAAGAAUCUGAGGUAGUUGAGCAUAAUUUAAUCAGGCCAACCAUGCAAGAAGAAGCAAACUUUGCUUGUGAAUUAACUCUCCUGUUAACUGCUAUAGCAUUGAGCAUAAUAUGUCACUUCAAUUACUCUAAAAAUCCAAAAUCAGCCCCGCAUGUUUAGUGCUUGAACAAUAUCAAUCAAUGACUUACUUGAGGUGUUGGUUUGGCCACCCUCUGAAGUACUCCUGUAUAUCUGUGAACCACGGCUCACCAUAGAUGACCAAUAGGACAGACAAUUCAACAGUGGCAUAAUAUGUUAGCUUCCACAAAGACUCAGAACAUUUUGCAAUCUUCAUCCUUCUAGCCUUGUUAAUUUUCAGUGGAAUAGAUCCAUUGCUCAAUAACCAUGUUGCUACCCUCUGUAGACAGAAAAUUAAGAAAAUGAUGUAUCUGGAUAUGCUCAAUAGGUUCACAAGUUCAACCACUAGCCAAAGAAAGAUAAAAGUGAUUAUUCUGUUGAUAUUGCAAUGCAUUCUUUAUACUAUUGGAACUGUUCUUGGGAGGAAAACUCUGACAUCUAAUUAUUCAGGAUGUUCUAAAAUGUCAAACUAGCAAGCCAAGAGAAAGGGGAAAAACACUCUAAAACAAACAAACUCCGUGUCUGCUUGAGGGAUUUAUAGAAGGCUUUCAUUUCUUCUAUGAGACAUUAAAGUGCUUAUGAAUGGCUCUCGCUAGGCUGAGCAUAAAGACUGCAGUGAACUCUGGUCAACCCGUAUAAUGCUCAAUCUCACGAGGAAUAAAAUACACUGGUACCAUCUAAAAUUAGCUGCUUCAGAAGGAAGGGAAACUCUCAAACAAGGCUAAAAAUAUAUGCGGUGGACAAAGAUAGCAUCGUCUUUUUAUAUUUUGUGAAUGUAAUGAUCAUGUAUUUUUCUAGUUCCUAGCAAACUAAAAACAUUUUAAAACCUGGGCCAAGCAACAAUAAGAAAUCAUUCACCUGCACAGUAAUCUCCUCUCCCACUUCCUGCAAUCCGUAAAAGAGGACUUAAAAUGGCCAAUGAAAAGAACUACAGUGCCGAAUGUUCCAGCAGCAAUAAAUGAGAUGAUAAAAAGUAAAAGAAGAUUCAGGUUCAACGCGUCAAUGAUAUAACUGCUGCUGCAGACAAGGUGGAAAAAGUUUUCUUUUGUUUGUUAUAUGGAACUUACUUUAGAAAACUGUAAUUCCAUCAGAAGAGGUAAGUUUAGUUGGACUGCUUGCUGCAGUAAAAUUCAUAAUUUGCAGCACCUACGCAAUCUUUGGAAGCAACUUGACUCCAAUCUUACAGCUCUUGAUAGACUUAAAUGUGAAAAGACAAUUUCACGGUAAAUGGAAAAAGUGAUACCCAAUUUUCCCCCGAAAGGUAGAAAACCCAAACUCCCAAGCAAUACUUUUUCAUCUUUACCUGUACCAUUAUUAAACAUUGAUUACUUAGAGACUCCCAUUUCAGUAUCUUCCAAACAAGCCAAACAAUGCAUCAAGCUAAUCAGGACUUUCUCUUAAGAGGUCACUUAAUCUACCAGACAACUACAGUAGGAUACGUCUAGAGCAUAAAGUUCGUGAACCAUACAAUAAGGCGGUGCAAAAGGGAAUCAAUCAUAUUGACAAACUAGAGAUAUGCAAAUUUCCACAAUAUGCCAAGUCUUCAAUAAAGGUGCUACUUUCACCCAGACAAACAAGUGCGCCAUCUUGCAGGCAGAUGUAUGCACAAAAUAAGAAUUUCAAACUUCUCCAACAUAUAUAGAUUAAUUUGACCUUUCUCAGUUUGAAUUAGUUUGGGUUCCUUUGUUUAUACCCUCUACUUUAUCAGUAUCUCCAUGUGCUUGGUUUCUCAUUUACAAAACUCUAAUGCAUCCGGACAACCAGAUUACAUUAGAUUGAAAAAUCACACUGUCUUUUGCUGUAAAUUUUGCAAAAUGCUAAUUAAUCAGAAUUGGACAAAGCUACUCUUGGGCAGAUUCUUGAUUAUAGCUUCAUAGCCCCGUAAUCGCUUCUUAUUGGUUCCCUGCCCCCUAUCAAUAUAAAUGAAUCCAUAGACUAAUUGGCUACUGAAAAAUCUAAAUUUUAGAUGCAAAAUCAAACGAUAAAAUCAAAGAACUGAUUUUGUCACAAUCCAAAUCUAUAAUCAGGUGAAGCAAUCAAACGCAAACACCCCCAAGAUAUACAUUACGAUAAUGCAUGUUUCCAAUGUCCAUGACCAAAUGUAUUUGCACUGUUGGAAAACUGAUAGUUAAGAACAAUAGGCCGAAAUUCAACAACUCUUACACUACCAACCGUUGUCAAUCCGUCCAUCCUAAUUAACUUACUGCUUCGCAUCAAGUGCAUCAGAAAUUUCAAUCAAAUUAUCAUAAAGAAAGGAAUAAUUUUGCUAUCCGCAGAGCGCUCGUCUUGGUUUCCUGGAAAAGGAUGGAGUCGAUAAGGUGCAAACGUUUAAUAUGGUUGAACUUUAACACUUGGAGUAUCAAUAGAAACAAAUGGGGAGAAGUAUACCCCAAUUCUACCGUUUCAAGAUCCAAUAUAAAACAUUAGUGCAGAAUUCAGGCUGAAGAAGUCCAAUUCCAGUCAAGAUGCAAGAACAUCAAAAAAAAUCUUCAAACAAUAAACACAAAUGAGACAAAAACCAAUCAUUGACAAAUUCGCAAAUUAAGAUAGCGCGAGCAUAUUUACAUACAGAACAACAAGAACGGGAAGCUUACCUGAAAGAGGUGCUUAUCAAACAAAAACCUGGCGACGGCAAAACCGACUGCGAAAUAUACCGCCAACAGAAAAUGCCAGGCGCUGGGGACGACAUCGGCUUUCCACAUCGAAUCCAGAGCAGCAGAUUGGAUCAUCUUCAACUUCACAUCCACUCCACCCCUAGUUAAUCCUCAUACCUACUUUAGAAAAAAGAAAUCCCUAAUUAUACCCGAACUUGCAAUCUUUUUAUAGACAAAUCUACCAUCGCUGCAGAGGCGGUUGGAGUGGUGUGGGCGGUGAGUUGUAUUAAUUGUGUAUUGAAGCAAUGGAAAGUAAGGGAAGGGCGCAGGGAGGAGGGAAAAAGGAGGCGGUUAAAGGUUAACAGACUUUAAGGCUGGAAGGAAUGGUAAUGAGCAAAGAUGUGAAUGAAGGAAGGAAAGGGAAGGGGGGAGGGAGAUCUUGCGAGUUGCGAGGAGAGAGGCGACUGGGUUCAUGCGGGUUCACUACACUACAUAACUGCUAAUGAGUGGGCCCUCACCCCUCUCAGUACUUUACAACUUUCUUAAAUAUAUUAUUAGCAAUCUCUCAUUUUUAUUAAUAAUCACAUUGUCACUAUUAUUUUAAUUAUAUAAUAUGUUUUCAUUUAUUGAACUAUAUAAUAAAAUAAAUGAUCGAAAUGUAAAUCGAGUGCAAAAUAUAUUUCCUUUACUAAAAUAGAUCAAAAAUAGAAAAAUAUAUUAGCAUUUUAUUUUGGUCUCUGCCACACAAUAAAUGUAUCAUUGGUAUGGUAGAACUUGAUUGUUUUAAAAAAAAAAAAAAAACUCUAUUGUUUAAAAUAUAUCGUGCUAAUGUUUACAUUUGUUAUGUUAAUACUUAAUUAGUACAUUGAUUCAGUCGUCGCAUAGAUUGUUGUACAUGCGAACAUCAUUGUUUUCCAUUUUGGUUGAUCCAACAAAUAAAAUUGAAACAAAACUUUUUAGUGAAUCCAGUUUUUUUUUUUUUUUUUGGGAGCAUAUUUAGUUGGCAUUCAUAACACAUUUAAAUUUGGGAAAAAAGCAAAAAAUUAACAUAGGUCUGGUUUAAUAAAUAUGUUGAAGUCAAACAUAUCAUUAAUGGACGUUCAAAUGAAUAUGUGUAUAACUAUAUCAUAAAGAUUAAUUAAAUGUUCCUAGAUAAGUCAGGUCCACUAAAUUUAGAGUGAUAUGGACACUUCGGUUGAUUAAAAAAAAAAUAAAAUUAGGAUUUGAACCUUUAGUAUGAGUAGCAUGUUUGGCCCGCCCCUAAAAAAAAGGAUACGAGUAGAUUAAAUUAGAUGACAAAAUAGAAAGGAUUGCGAGUAAUAGAUUUGGACGGUAGUAUAACCACAUCCGCUUCCCUCCAAAUCAACAUAAAAACAUGUGUGUACGUGUACCCUGCCCCCCAUCCUUUGCUGUUUCGAAACCACUGAAGAGUCGCGAAUUCAAUGAUUUUGUCUGCUGACGUUUGUCAGCUUCUCAUCUUUGAUUAAGAGAAAUGCCCAUGGAGACAUAUACCUAAGUUACUCAUUGGGCCUUGGUCCCGUGUACCCGGUCGGAGGUUCAAAACCUGUCUAGACAGUGCUUCGUAAUAUGCUUCCUUGUUCUUCAAAAAUUUAGAAAGUACAGUAGUGUACUUGUUUAGAUUGAAAAUAUAACGUAAGAAGAUAGUGUAAUUAAUGUUCAUCUUCUAGGAGCAUAUAGGGUACAAAUUGAUAAUAUAAUGUAAGAGGAUAGCGUAGUUAAUGUUCAUCUUCUGAGACGAUACAUGGUGCCAACAUUUUCUUCAAUUUUAUCGUAGGAUUGAGUUGGACGGUAAAAUAGAAGAAAUUGAGUUGGCAGUGAUAAAGAGGUUUGAUGUCUAAACAAAAACAUAUUGUCCCUUGAAAAUAUGAUUGGGUUGAUCAGCACUUAGGUUCUCUGAAGAUUGGGCUCGAAAGCUUUUUGAGAGGCGGAUUGUACCGCACAUAAUGGACUUUCCAUCUGAGGCUUUGUGACAACAACAAAUCCACUUCACAUGGCUAGGCCCAUUGAUGCAAUACGCCCACACACACUCUCACGCAGAAACAGAAAGAAAGUGAAUUCUUUGUUAGCUUUCGGGUCCAAUUCUGUUACCUGCACGUUCAUAUACCGCAAUUUUCACUUCUAGUGCUCGAUUCAAACUGCGCUCAAAGGAGUUCCUUGACAUGCCUUCAAGCACAUAGCUCGCCAUUUCAUCAUUUCCACUGUUGUCGUACCAGUCUUCCAUUAGAGUAUUUUGAAUUGGUUUUCACUACUUAGCAAAAGGCUUUUACCAAAAUAAUGAGAAUGAGAAAAAAAUAAAUUUUUUUUUUGGGUUUCUAAAUCUAAAAAUGACUGUGGAUACAUUAUAGCUAGAAUAAUCUCUUUUACCCUACUGAAGUGCUUCAAACCUUAUUCGUAGGAUUGUUGCUCUUGCUGUCUUUAUGCCUGUUUGCUUCCCUAGGUUCCAUAGGUUGGUGACACAGAUUACUGUUGUUAGGCAGAAAAUAAGAUGAGAUCGAGUUCUUCCCAGUUCCAUCAUAUACACACAAGCUACGAAAGAGAGGGGCAGAAAACAUGGCGAUUGCUGAGCUUGUGAGCAACUAUAGUCAGGUGUUCAGAUCAUCAAGGGUUUAUAGCACCCCAUGUUUUUGACGCGCAUCCCCUGAAGUUUGGAGGUGUGAUGGAGAACUUGUACGAAUGAGAAAAUAUCGUCAAUGACCUUGGCAUAUUAUCUCGGUCUUCAAUGUAUUACUCUUGCAAAGAAAGUAGUGACUUUGACAGCUACGGAAAAGCAAAUGUUUUGGCAAUGGAAGGAAAUAAUGACGCUAACGGAUUAAAAGUUGGUUGAGAAGAGAUGUCUGUCAUAGAAGUCAGAAUGAAAAGGUUUAAAUGAUCAUCAACUGAUGGAAGAUUUCUGACUUUGAUUGUUCAUGAAAUUAUACACCAAUAGGGGCUGGAGUAUUUCCUUUAAUCACUUCCACUACGAACCACGCCUUGUUAUCAUCGCAGAUGUUAGUUUUCACCAUAAAUUGGGCAUGAAAUUCGACUUCACAGUUGACAUAUCUGUGCCAUGCAUUGUCGCAUCAGUUAUUUAUUAUUGCGCAUUACCGACCUUAAAUGACGCUACAAUUAUUUGAAACUGGUUGUUAUGGGCCUAUUUAUUGCCCUUGGGAGAUUUUUAUUUUUCCAAAAUCUGUAUUGCAGAAUUGCUUUAGAACAAUGAAUCCUGAUGAAUUCACUUCACAGGUAGAGGGAGGGGUAUAUUGGUCGAAGUAUAUAGUUCAUCGAUUCAGCUGGCAUGGAUUUCUUUUUGAUGGUGGAAUCUGGAAACCUUUUUAAACGGAGAAUCUAUAUAUGUUUUAUAAUUUUCAAUAGUUAAUCUUGCUACGAAGGGCUGGUGUUGGUUUUGCUGUUCGGAAGAACAAUUGGUGUAAUGAUGAUCAAUCCAUUUUAAAUGGAGCAUCUAAGUCAAAAUUUUAACCUUGCAAAACAAGCUGAUCUUGGUGGCCUAAAGAAUGUAUCUGUUACUCUGCGAUCUUUACCGACUAAACAAGCAGCAGCAUAAAACUUAUAUGAGUUCUGGAUGAUGCCAAAAUCCUUGAAUUCUAGCUGUAGAUAACUAAUUCCAGAACUCCUAUCUUCAUAUAUAUGUUUGUUCCCGCAAUUAAAGUUUGCAAGAUUAAAAAAUCUCAGAAAAAGUUGUAUAUUUAGUUGAGGUUACAUGCUCUGGAAGCUAUUUAUUUCAUAUUUGUAGUUUGCCCGCCAUUGUUGACAAACUUCGUACUUUCCUGGUGGGAUUUUCCUUCCGAACCCCACCUCCUCUUUCCCUGUCCUUUCUAUUCUUUUGCGUUUUGGCGCCUGCCAUUUAUAUAUUAGGUGGAGGCUGGCCAAUAAUUGAGUUGGGAGGAAGGACGAGAUUUUCUCCAUGCAUGAGACAUAACAUUGGUGCCACCGGCCAAACUAUACUAGCUUCAGAAUAGAAAAUUGGGAUUAUAUUUAUAGAAUGGCAUGUGUGCCUGCUCUCCAUUUGAAUGCCCUGCAGUUGAGGGCAGUCUCUUCCUUUCGCAGCCAGUAAGGUGAACAUGUGGAUCAUCUUUGCGCCGCUGAUGCAAGAAACCAAGCCGUCUUCUUCUUGGCUCCAACAGUUUAGCAGCAGCAUUCAUUGAGAAUUUGAUUUGUUGGUCCCUGCUCAGCAUGGUUUAAAGUCGCGGUCGCGGCCUGGACCGUUCCACAUCGGUCUCGGCAUAUUGGUCGCGGUCUCGGCGAGACGCGAAUUUUUGAAAUAUUUAAUAUUCUAAAAAUUAUAAAAAAUAUGAUAAACAAAAAUAAUUAAAAAAUUUGUAAAAAUAAUAAAAAUUCGAGUUGAUUCGGGAUGACUCGGUGAGACUCGGCUGUUUCAACCCUUCACGGUAACGUCUCGACGAGUCACGUAUCUCGGUAUCAUUUUGUCGCGAUCUCGUCUCGGACUACGCUGAAACGGGGACGACUCGGCCGAGUCGUCUCGGUCUCGGUCUCGGACGAGUCUUUGAACCAGUGGUUUGUUUGAAGACUUGGCGCGUUUACCAUCUUCUGCUACAUUGGCGGCACUGCUUUAAGCAUUAUCGACUUUUUAACAUUUAUUCAUUUUGGUUUGAGUAUGGUGACUUGAACCCAACAUAUUGAUAUUAUGCCAAGAAGAUAAUGAUACUGCAUCUUUGAGAUUAAUUGAAUAGGGAGAAUGUUCCCCUUUAGUACUCUCACUUUUGGUUGUUACAUUUGUGCAAACAUAAUGAUAUUGCAACUUGUUUAGCAGAACCGGACAAAAGAAGCCAAUACCACCCUGACCUCCAAGGUAAAAAAUUUCAGGGUGGUUAUUUGCUGGAAAAGUUGAGCCAUAUUUUCAGGCCAUCUUUUUUCUUUUGUUGGGGUGGCCGGGGGGGGGGGGGGGGGGGUUGUGUGCGUGUGUGGAUAAUUUGAUUUUUCUUUUUCUUUUUCUUCGCUAAAUAAUUUGUAAAGAAACUCCAUCUGUAAAUGCAGUCCUACUGAUUGGUCGUGGGCUCUUUGUAGAAUUUAGCAGGGAGUCCAUUCAGAGGAACUGGAAAUGGACUAUACUGUACUUUGCCGCCCUUGGAUCCCACUAGUUCCCAUCUGCGAAGGACAAUGAUAAAAUUAAAAUUAAGAGCUAAAUCCCAAAAUAUAACAUUAAAAAGAUUAACAAAAGGGUGCCGUAUUAAUUAAUAUCUACUACUAUUUCAUAUUGAUUGAUAGCAUAGAUGAGCAUAUUUUUGGUACUGGGAUCGCAACCUUGGUGAAGCAAAUUGUAGAACCACGAAAAGAUGAGUCUAGAGCCUAGACUCGCAAAAUGGGAAAAAAAAAACCCAUUACUUUUUUCAAGUUUGUAAAUUCAAAUACCUUAGAAAUUAGUACCAUAAAUAUUAUCAAAAAAAAAGAAAUUAGUUCCACAAUUUAAAUGAAAACAAAAAUUGAUCCGUAUAUCUUUUUUUUUUUUUUUGUUUAAGGGUCUGUUUGAUAACAUAAAAAAGUGCUGAAUCUGAAUUUUUUCAGACAUUCAGAUGUUUUGAGUGUUUGAUAAAUGAAAAUCUAUUUGCUGAACUUGUUAAGUAGUGCUGAACUUGUGUGUAUUUUUUUCAGCACAAGAAUCUUAACUGAAUGUUUAAUUUUGAUAAGAAUCAAUAGAAUUACUUCAACUACCUUAUCUUAUCUACCAAAUCUACACUUGUUUAUUAAUUAUGUUCAAAAUUCUUAUAUAAUUAAACAACCUAAUAUUCUAUAUCUAAUGAUUUUUUAUUUCUCUUUUCUCCCUUUUGAAUGACUUUUACUUCUUCUCCAUACUCCUCAUAUAAUAUAAUUCAUCUUUUAUAUUAAUUUGAUUUAAAAAUAAAUAUUGUCAUUUUCAUACGUAACAUUUUUACCUAAUUAAAUCAUAGGUUCGAUAUCUUUUUUGGAUGAAAAGAUAUAAGGGCAAAAUUGUGAAAUUUAACUUAUUAAGCAUUCAGUUAUAAAUAUUUAUCAAACAGUAUAAAUAGAUUUAAAAUUAAAAUUCAGAUAUUUAUAUAUUUUUUUUCCGUGUUUAAAAUUUAACAAAUUAUAAUUAUUUCAGUAUUCAGAUUAUAUUUUAUUAAAGGGAACCUAAGUGUACGAGGUCGCCAUCGUACCUAUACUUGGUCACCACAUGGUGGAUCAAAAUCAACAUCUCCAGUUUGGCGAGGUCAUUUCCGGGACAGGCGUGGGCUCCACUGCCAAAUGGCAUGAAGGUGUUGGGCUUAGGGGCCACCUGAAUCAAAGGCCACCACAAAUACAAUAAACAAAGUACUGUAGAAGAACAAUAAUAAUAAUCUCAAAAAAACGAGAACCAUCAGUAAAAUUUGGUACUUAUUAGAAAGAAGAAACAAAAGUAGUGAUAUCUCCAAAAUCGGAUACCUCAAAUCUUGCAGGAUCAAAACUUUUGGGGUCCACGAAAUGGUCGGGAUUGUGAUGAAUAUUUCUGAAUAGCGGCAUCACCUUCCACCCUUUUGGUAUAAGAAAUCCUGUUUCAAUAUGAAUCAUGCGCGAGUUAAGAUUUACUAUACGUACAUCAAUAUACAUGAAAAAUUGAAAAUACUAGUACUAUAACAUGAUCAUUGAGACGAGGAAAUAAAUCGAGAAGUUUGUAUAUAACUAUAUAUAUAUAUAUAUAUAUAUAUAUAUAUAUAUAUAUAUAAUCACAUGGUAAAAAGGUCCGAGUUUGGAACCUCACCAUCAUAUUCUACGUCAGUCACAGCUUCCCUGAAGGUGAAUGAUAUGAUGCUAGCCAUCCUUAAGCUUUCUAAUAUUACCUGCCAUUCCAAUUAGGAGGGUGAAUUUUGCUUAUCUGAGGAUCAGUCCAUUAAUCUUUCUCUCGAAUUGUCACCAUGGAGGAUAAAGUAAUGGAGUAGUAAUUACCUUGUGUGUCAGCGGCAUAUUUCUCGUUUGAGCCCAUGUCAAGGGUUGCUCUCCUUCUUGAUUUAAGGUCCAGACAGCCCUUUGCUCUAUCUGCAGCAAGAUUUUGGACGAAAAAUGAGACCACUGGUAUAAAAAUAAUUGGUCCGCAGCUUUACUGUUUUAUUUUACCACUAGAGUACUUCUUUUCUUGCCUCGAAGAGAAGAUCCAAAAUGGUCAAGCAUUAAUUCACCUUGACAGCUUCUAAAAGUUUCUGGUUAUCGUGGAGGUACUUGAGAAUCCAGGUUAGGACACUAGCGGUUGUGUCUUGAGCAGCAAACAGCACUCCUAUGAUGUUGUCAGCGAUUUGAUCCUCUGUCAAAGUUUGCCCUCUCUCAUCUUUGAAGUUGAGCAGGUACCCCAGCAGAUCUUUAUCCAAUAGCUUUUUCUGCUUCCUCUCACUGAUUAUUUCCCUUAUGAUCUGAUUCAACCUUUCCCUUGCCUUGCCAUAAUUCACCGUGAAAAAGACAAGACGAGUCAGCAAGAAAGCUCCUUUCCAAUUAAUGCAGCAACCUGAUCUCGAAGAGCUUAUCACCACUUACCAAUAGAGAUUUAUGAUACGCUGUUCCUGGCAAGUUUGUGGGAAAAGAAUUGUACCCUUUAUCUACAAUGGAAUAGUUCUCCUUUAGUGCGUUCUUAUACUUGAUUUCUAGGUGACCGAAGAUAGCAAGGAUGCCGACCUCAAAAGAUAACUGCGCAAGUUAGAUCCACGAAAUCGUCAUGUCAUGUGCGAGGAAAAUAAUGAAACAUAUGACAAAUUGGAGGUCCCGGAAACCUUAAGGUUAGAAGGACCCAUCAAGGAAAAACAAAUUUCUAAGAGACCCCGUAUGAAAAUAGUCAAAUACUAGCUAUACUACAAUGAACAAGACAACAAAGUCGUCAGGGCACUCUCCAAAAAUACCUUCUUCAUCUCAUGGAAUGUGUUGGUGAUCAGACCGGACUCCCAAGUUUGCAUGCAAGAAAUGAUUAUAGCUUCAAUAUCGGGAACCAGCUUUCGAAGGGCCUCUGGAGAUAACGAGUUAUGAACCAGCUUCUUCAAGUGAGUGUGGUAGUUUCCUUCGUGGAAAAACAAUGCCCAGGGGCCGAUCAUCGUCUCUUUACUCCUGGGAUAAGUUGGUUUGAACAAGUGAGAAUGAGUAACCAACACGAACCGAGAGGCUUCAGGGCUAGCCAACAUGAUACAAGGGCAGCCAAGUAUCUUGGUCUUGAACAUAUCUCCAUAUCUGUGCGUAAGAACAAGAAAAUCAUCAGCUCGUGAUCUCUGCAGUUUCUGGCAGCGGGACAUAAAUUUAAAGGAGGAUGUGAAAAUCAACUAGUGUUAAUAGCUAGCUGAGUCAUGAGUUGUCAUGCAAACCUUUUUUGCUUCUGAGCAAAGAAAACAUUCGGAUCUUGGGAGUACAAUUGAAGAGUCUCUCCUAUGUAAGGCCAUCCCAUAGAGCCAGGAGGCAACUUUGCUCUUCCUUUGUUUGUUCUCUCCUUGUUCUUCGAUAGGCAAUAAUAAAGAGCAGUAGAGAAAAGGAUGAGGAUGUAUAUAAUCGUAGAAACAAUAUUAUCCAUACGAGUUCUUUCUCCCUUCCUCUCCCUUCUGUUCCUCUCCCGUUCUCCAAGCUGCAGUAUUCUAUGACCAAGCUUUGUUAAUUGUGUUUUUCUAUCGGAGCUUUAGGGGGUAGAUAAUGGAUAUACUGAGCAACGAAGGUAGUUGCCAAAUGAUAGCCUAGUCAAUGAGAAGGAUAGCGAAGGUUUAUGGUUUAUAUAGAAAUUGAGGGGCAAGGAGCAGGGGGAAAAGGACGGAGAUGGAUCUGAAUUUAAAUAAAGGGGCUUUGCCAAAUUUGGGUGAAAAGUCCUCCUAGCUGUUAAUAUGGCACUGUUGCAUUCACAAAUAACCCAAUGAUAAAGAAAGUUUUGGACCACUUUUAAGUUUUACCCUGAGAUAAACAUGAGCUAACUUCGGAGUUCGGAUAGAAAAUUUGAGGAUGAAAAGCGAUCGAGAAAGGAAAGCAUAUUUCUACCUUGUUUUUGUUUUGUUUGCUUGUUUGUUUGUUUCCUUUUUUUUUUUUUUUUUUGACCUCCUUUUCUAGCUAAACGGAUUUUACAUUUUUACUUCAGAUUCCUUGCAACUAUGGUAUGUUAUUGGAUUUUACAUAUAGAACCAUGUAGAUAGUAUCAUUUUAACAGAAAUUACACGGUGUUAGCUUUCAUUGAAAUUUUGCUAAAUACUCUCUUCCAGCAAUUAAAUGAUAAGCUCACGAGUAACCGAAAAGUCUAGAACCACCGGCUCUUGGACUAGCGGCCACCACCAAGCCCUUAAUGCUUUGCCUCCCGCCAAAAUGCCACUCUUGUGGCUCUGCUUCAAAUCCAGACGGGUGCGUAGUGCACCCGUCUGGUCCGGUGGUAGUUCUAUCCCCUUCGGUUCCCCCGUAGAUUUAAUUGAACCUCAUCGUAGUUAGAGUUGUAGUAGGAGUAAAGAUGACAAUUGAAAAAAAAAAAAAAAAGUAACCGAAAAGUCUACCACUGGCGGGAGUGGUAUUGCCAUUGUGGGGGAUGCUGUACCAUUUACGCCAACGACAAUGUUGUAACCUAGAGCGUGUUUGAAUUGAGUAAUAUUUAAAAUAAUUAUUAUAGCCCUUUUUAUAUUUGAUAUAUACGAAAUAAAAUGUGAUUGAAAAUAUACAAAUAUAUGUUGAAAAAACGUGUUUAUGAUACAAGCAAAAUAAUAUUUUGACAAAAAAAAAUUUUGUAUCAAAGAGCACCCAUGUUUGGAUGAAAGACUAUUUGAAAGGUCUUUUGAAAUAACAUCCUAUCAUUGUUUAAUUAAAAAAAAUGUGAGAUAACAACUUAAUUAGACAACAAGUUAAAGAUGCAAGCAAAAAAAAUUUAUAGAUGCUAAGACGUAUUAUCAAUUUAAAUGUCUCUCUUCAAAUCAGAAUUAACUUUCCCAUUCCCAAAGGGAUAUGAAUAAGGUCAUUUGGAUUGUGAGUUUUUGAAAAUUUUGUAGAAAAAUGCACUGUAAUGAUAUUAUAUAUGUGAGAUAAAAAAGAAAUUGAAAAAUGCGCAGAGAGAAUUUUUUUUAUGAAAACUCGCAACCCAAACAAGGUCGUUUAUAUUUUUCCUCUCAUUUAUAUAUCUUAUUUGAUUGAUGAUACCAACCGUGGUGAAUAAGCUAAUAAUGUAUACUCUUUUAUAAGUUGUAACAGCAUUAAAUUGUUGAUACGAAAAAUUACUUGAUUUGUGAAGUAAAUUUGAAGUCGUCUGACAGUAAUUUGGGUACGCUGAUGGCAGAAGUGAUCCAAAAGAUGAGUGUAAUUUUAAAUCAGAGCCAACACAUUUAGAAGUUUAAGUGUUUGAAUGCUCAAUCCUAACAUUAAUUUGUUGCUAAAACUAACGUUGAUGAAUAUAUAGGGUUUACGCCAAAUUGUAGAAUUCGGAGAGAAGUAAAAUGUGAGGUUCCAGCUGAUGGGUAUUUUGUCUUUUGGCCCUACGAUUAUCAGCAGGAAGUAGGAAAGCUGAGACAAGACAAAAGGAACUCCCACAUUCUCAAUGCUCCAGAGUCGGACGAGUACUGGAUUUGGUUGAUACAUAUAUGAUACUGGUUAAUUAGCACAAUGCUCGUUUGUGGAUCGGGGAAAUUAAGUUGCGUCUUCGAUAUGUUGAUUUGAAGUUUCAAUGAAACGGUUUAGACCCAAACUGCCUCAAUUUCACCAUGUCGGUCCUAAGUAAUAAAGGUCUGAUUUUCACCAAUUAAGCAUAUUUUGCUCAAAACAAAUGCUUGACAAGCUGUGACCAAAAGAAGUUAGGGGCUAACAUCACGAAAAAAUAGGUUUUACUAAAGGCUUAUUAUGAACUUAUUUAGGUAGAAAAAUAGUUAACAUGACUAUAGUUAAACAAUGAAUCGAGCUUUCUAGCAAAUGAAUAACCAUUCGAGCUUUAAGCAAAAUCGUAGAUUAGCUGUAAUACUUGUUUGAAAUGUGAUAAAUGUAAAAUAAAAAUGAUAAUUAAAUACAAAGUGAAAUAUUUUUACAAAAAAAAAAAAAAUACAAUACAAUCGAGGUCUAAACUUACUGUCAGUUAGAGUUUUAGUGAUAAUAGAAGAAAUUGUAAAUAGAAGAUUUUGGAUUUAAAACCUCUUACUAGAAAAAAUACUUACAGUAACUGAAACAUUCAGUUAAACUGAUUGUUAUUAGGUUUAAAUUAAUUAUGAAGAUAGAUUGAGAAUGGCACGCGUACUUCAAACUAUAUCACUAAAACCAUGAUAUGGGUAAGCUGAAUUAAUGUUAAGCCUGUAAAAAUAAGUGGUCUGGAGUUUCAAUCUCAAUCCUACCAACAAUAUUGUUUGGAUAGAGUAUUAUUUAAAAUAUUAUUUGGAGUAAUUACUGUAGCACUUUUUGUGAUGUGAUGUAUGUGAGAUCAAAAGGUGGUUGGAAAUAUAAAAAGAUGGAUUGAAAAAUGUGUUUAUGAUACAAUCGAAAUAUUAUUUGAGAUAAUUUACUACCCAAUUAUAAUUGAUAGUUUAUAUCUCGUGAAAUUUAGAUUCUUGCAUUUUCUACCUCCAUCUUGUUAACAAAAAUAAAGGGAUAAUAUCAGAUACCUCCCUAAAUGGUUUCUUAAAAUAUCAUACAGUACCUCUUAGGUUUUGGAUUGACAUUUUUUUAUAACAUUUUAACCCAUUUUGGGGGAAAUGCAAGAAAGUUAAAUUUUUUGUUUCAACACUACCCUUAUAUUAUCCUACUUGUGAAGCUUACAACAACAACAAAAAAUAAAAUAAGAAAAAAGAUGAAAAUGUGAGAAGUUAUAAAUGCAAUAAUGAGUAAUUUUGUACAUAUACAACAACUAUUGCUUAAUAUAAUGCACAAUGUUUAACCAAAAAAAGGGAUAUUCCUAGAUAUAUAUUUGGUCAUUAGAUCAAUUUUUAUUUUUUAAAAUUUUGACUUGCUUAUAAAGUUUUUUUCUAUAAGUAGAAUUUAUAUUACGAAUCCUAUGCAUAUAGAGAUUAUUUUAGUUUUUAGCACAACUCAAACUAUAUCAUGUAUUUUGACAUAUUUUCAAAAAAAAAUUUAUUGACUUCCUUAUAACUAUCCACGAAAUUUUUAAAGGUGAUUAAUUACUCACCAAAUCCUCCUAAGUAGCUAACUUUGACUAGAUUUAAUUUAUCUGCGUCAUUUGCGAUCCUCCCACAAUUUUGAUAUAGAUAAAUAUGGACUAUUAUUAGAUAACAAUUUGCAAUCUACAUAUUUUUGUUUAAAGUUUUAUUUUAUUUGGCUUUUUGGCUAAUCAGUUAUUAAGGACAAGGGUAAUAUUGUCAAUUUAUGACAUUUGAUAUGAAUAUUUAGUCUUGUCAAAUUGACAGAGAAGGUAUGUGAGAUUUUAAAAAUUUCAAGAGAACUGAGUGAUAUUAUGAAAAACCUUAGAUAAUGUUUUUGAAAUUAUCUCAAAAAUAAAACUACAGCAAAAGGUGAACAAGAGGAAACGUGUUUACUGCAUUUUAAAAAUAAAAUAAAAUUUUUGUUCUACCCGAUGAGAAUGAUUCAAUUUUACUAAUGAAAUAUGGAGUUAGCAUGACGUAUAUAAUUGAAUAGUGAGUUUCUAAUUUAAUCUUGUACUAUAAUUUUGGAGGGAAAAAAAUAUCAAGUUUGAUAAAAUACUAGAUGAAACUUGAUAAUAUUGUGAACAGUUAAUAUCUUUCCCACCGGGUCAGGUAAUGGUGAUUGGCAAUGUUAUCAUUUUAAAAUUAAAAUUAUAUGUUAUAAAUCUAUCAGUAUUAAUGUAUACUACAAAAUUAAUCCAAUUUUCAAAAGGCUCUAUGUUUUGAAUAAGCUCCUUAAUUGCAUCUGGUAUUACACACGCAUAUUAAUAACUAUGACUGUCUCUCACAUUUAUAUAUUUUUCUUAAAAUUUAACAAAUUUUUUUUUCCCUAACGAUAACAAUUAUUAGGCAAAUUUUUUUUUUAUCGAAACGAUAAGAUUAUAUUGAUUGAAAAAAUAUACACAAGCGAGACUUGCUCGAUGCUUUACAACGUGCAUUUAACACAAUAGAUUGGGGUUAACCCAUUCUACAUCAAAAUAAUUGCUCAAAGCUUGAGCGCUAAACAAACAAUUUAGAUCAUUUCUUUUAUAUUUUCCUAUGCAAAAGGAGCAUUUGUGAAACAUCUUACUUAGCUCGCGGAUGUCCUCUAUUAGGGUAGCUAGCCACAUGCCUGCUGUUCAAUUAUUGGGCAAUUGAACUACACAUUAUUGGGCAAGACAACAGGCUGGAGUGUCGCAACGCCUUUAAUGCCGUAUCAGAAAGACGGCGCUGUGGCGUGGUCAUUCACGUGGGAGUGAUGGGGACCAGAUUGCAUCGGCGGUGUAGGAGUAGAGCCCGUAGGAUCUCAUGCGUUCUAGAUCAGAUGGCGAUUACGUGACGUCCUAACUCCUAACUCCCCGGGGACACGAACCUUCGGGAGAAUGGGACCGGAGCGGAGAAGCUCUAAUAAGCGAGGAGUGGUAAUGUGAAGUCCGCUUCAGGUAUCAGGUGGUGGUAGGUAGUCCCAAUCAGAGAAAGCUGAACACGACACGUGUUGAAAUCUCUGUGGUUGAUUGCCGCCUCACCGGAAUGCACUGGUACUAUCGAUCCUGUGCGGGCGGGUCUUGACUCUUGACUCUUGACUCGUACAUUUAAUUUUAAGGCACAGGCGUGAUGGCACAGGAGUCUUCUGUUUUGGCAAGUCGUCGGCUCCUCGUUUCACUAUUCUUGCCCUGUCCAAAGGGCGCCAAAACAUCCCUCUGCCUGCAUUUGUCUAAAUCUUUUUGCUACUUCAAGUAGUUUUUUUUCUUUUUCUUUUCUGGUCGGCUUUCUCUUUUCUCUUUCUUUCUUCCAAUUUUGGGUCGAUGUCGGUGUUUCAGGUAAAUAAAGGGAGAUUUUCCGAUUGUGUUUUUUUUACGCAAAUGAGAGAAUAUCAUAACAAGUACAGGAUUAUUGAAUUAUCAAAUCAGGAUGACGCUGGAUUGUGUCAAAUGUAGUAUCUGCGGAAGAUCACACAAUUAUUUGUUUAGUCAUAAAAUGCAUUACUUGCAAUCAAUCUACGAUUAUUAAUAACAUUACAAUUGGGCUUGUUCUCAGUUGUUCUAGAUUUUGCAAAAAAUUGAUUAUAGAAAAUAAUCAGAAUCAGCAAAUUCUGUUUUUUGAAUGAUUAUACGAAUGCUAACUUUUUUGGCCGUAAAAAAUCUGUAAUGUGAAUGUAAGAGCAAUCGAGAACAUCUCAAUUUCUAAUUAUUCAUAACCAAAAUCUAUAUGCAGUUAAAACAAUCAACUGGGAACAAGCCUGUAAAGAAUAAUCAAAAUCAAUAAGAGUUACUCUUUGAUUGAUUAUGAAUUUUAGUUUUUUUAGUUAUUAAAAAACUAUAAUCCGAACAACAAAAGUAAAAGAGAUGUGGGGUUGCACCUUACAAGCUGACUUGCUAAUAAAUGAAUUCACCACUGCCGUUGGCUUUUUCAUGGGAUGUUUGUGGGGUUGCAGGCCAUCAGACGCGGUGCCUUAGAAACCACUAACGUACGAAGGCAAACAAAAUCUUUCGCCCAUGAUUAGAAGCGGUAUUGCAUCUAAAACUCAGUUUUAUUUGUGAAUGUCUGUUACUACAUGAGAUAAGAAUUACAUGUUUCAGUUUUAAUGCAAUUGAGAAAGUGUAACGGGAAAAAAAAAAAAAAAACCAAAAUCAACCUGGCGCCUCUAGGAAAUAUUUUGUAGAUUCUUUUCUUUAUAACUCAACUACUGAAACUGAAAGGGUAGUUGAAACAAUGUGCUUAGUUAUUAAUAAGCAAAUUAAUUAUUUUGACUGACUGUUUUUACGUAAAUUAUAAGUAGAAAGGCCGUAGGAACUGGAAUGAAUAGUGCAGUAGCAAUAAAUGCAAGAAUAUUUACUUCCAUAAUCUAAUCUUUUUUUUUAUUUCGCAAUAACUCGGGAUUUAAUCCCAUAGAGAUGUUAAACCUUUCGCCUGUAAAUUCAAUGAAUGAAUUACCUCUCGAUGGUUUUGAAUCGGAUCAAUAUCAUGAAUAAUAAUAUCUGAGCUAUCAAAUAAAUUCGUCGUGGGAAAGUCCAACUCGAUCUUUGAGCCAUUUUUUACUAACAUCAAGUAGUCUAAAAUCUUAUUACUAACAUCACGAACCGAUCGACUGAUGGUGGUGAUACAUUUUUUUGCACUUCUACUUCUUUUCAAGUUAACAAGAGGUUCUUUUGUUUAUCCCACUCAGAAUUCUUCAAACGAUUUCUUCUUUCUUGUUUCAAAGUUGGAAUCACUAAUGUGUGGAGGUGAUCGAUAUACGACAGGAUUUUCAUCACAAAUUUGAACUAUUUUUAAAUUUUGAUAUGAUAAAUCAAUGUAAUAAUACUCCAAAUAUGAAAGAUAGAACUCGAGUUGAAGCCUACAUUGGAGAUUGAAACCAUGAAAGCUCGACUUGGAAUUAAUGUCCAUCCAUAUGGAGCCAAGCUUGAAGAAAACUGGAAGUCUAUAUAUGAUAUGUAUGCUCAGUUCAGGCAACAAACCUUAGCCAACAAACCAAUGUCUUACUCAUCGAGGGUCUUACUCGAUCAUGUCAUUCAACCCCAAUGUCUUGUAAGACACAGGAGCUGGAAAAGAAACAGGAAAAAUGUAAAGGUCCAGAUAAGGUCAAUCAACUUAUCACUAGCUUUAUAAGCAUCAAAUUGAUAUAGUCCAACUGGGCUCUUGUGAUGGGAACACCUGCAUAACGAGUCCUUCUGGUGGGAAAUUCUCAACCAUCUCGCGGUGACGAGGCAUAUCCAAAAUCUGUUGUCAUUAUUGUCUCGCUUGAACUGCUUUGUUGCUUGAUGGACAUGACCACUAAAAGAAAACAAAAAUGUACACGUAACUUGCUUCCCAAUAUUCUGCAAUGCAACUUUUCAAAGAAAAACUGAAAAAGCUAGUUUAGUCCAUCAUAGAGAAGAUGAUACCCACUUUAAUUUGUAGUUCUUGGCACUAUAGCCGCUGUCAAUUCUAGGCGACUGUGUUCUUCACGUUGCUGCGUUGCACCAAUCUUCCGCGGUUUUCCGAAUCUUGUUUUCGCUUUCUCUUGCUUGCAGCUAUAUGUACUUUUCAUGUUUAUUUAUUUAUAAAAAAUCAUAAUUUCAUUCAUGAGAUCAGCAAUAAUGGUAGGAAACACAUCAUCAGACAUGUUAGAAAAACAACAACAACAAAAUUUCUAUGACUUACAUACAUACACACCAGAUUUGAGAAAAUAACGAAUAUUAUUUACAUAAUGAAAUCUCCAAUCCAUUUCAAAUGAUAUCAAUCUCUUUGAACCCAAUAAAGAAACAUCUGUGCAUGUCUUCUCUUACUUGAUUUACUGUUCAACUGUUUGAAAUCCGUACGUCAAGUUGUGAUCUCAGAAAUUUCAAAUCUAGUAAACAACUUUGAAACUUGGCAAAGAAAAAAAAACGUAAACUACAAGAAAAUUCUCACUAAAAAUCCUAAAAGAGAAGAUUCUCCGAUCACUUUAAAAAAAUUACCCUUAAAAAACUCUAGGAGUAAGAAGUCUCUUAUUAAGAAACCCUAAAUACAAGAAACUCUCAUUAGAAAAGCUUUAGCAGAUUCUUUCACUAGAAAGUCCUAGAAAAGUAUACGAGAAAUCUUAGAAGACAAGGAUUUGGUGCUUUAGAAUAUUGAAUGGCUAGAACGUUGCGUAACACUUUUCAUGGAGAGAAGGAUUUGCUGUUUUAGAAUAUUGAAUGGCUAGAAAGGGAUGAGAGGCAGAAGGACAGCUCCUGAGCUGUUCACGGCCAGAUUUUGGUCAAAAAAAAUGUGCGGUUCAUAUCACUUCUUGUAUCUCGAUAUUCACAAUACGUGUGGAAUCCACAAAAUUUUAUAUUAAAGUUACACGUUGUGCAAAUAAAAUUACGUCGUGUGUAAAUAAAAUUAUAUAGUAUGUAAAAUGCACAAAAUCGCCUGCAAAACCGUUCCUACCCCUUGUCAGCUAGAAAGUCAUGAAUCCUGCUUUUGUGGGAGCAACACUCUUCCUGUUCUUAAGGUGUCAGGAUUUUGUCGUCCGUUCCUAAAUUCAGUUUCGGAGUUUUAUCCUUAUCCAAAAUGAGCAAUUAAAUGUCAAUUUGUUGGUAGGAAGCUACGUGUGCACAUUUUUUACGGUUAAAAAUUAAAAAAAAAAGGGAAAAUCCUACUCUGAGCCACAAUUUAUAAAAUAGAAAUAAAUUAAAUGAAAGUCCAACUCUCCUUGAUUUUUAGACAUCUCAUAUUUGUGUCUAUGGCAUAGGCAUAUCAUAUUUUAAAAUCAUUUUUCCUGAGUAGACUCUAAAAUCAAGCGUGACACAAAGUUAAAAACUAGUGCUGCAACAUGAAUAAUGAUAUCGGGUUUGUUUGGGUAGGGUAUUGUUUGAAAUAUUAUUUGGAAUAAUUACUGUAGCACUUUUUGUGAUGUGAUGUAUGUGAGAUAAAAAGAUAAUUGGGAAGAUAAAAAGCUGUAUUGGAAAUUAUAAUGGUGAUGUCAGCAAAUAUAGUUGACCAAAUAAUCUACUGCCCAAACAAACCCGAUAUUUCUAUAUAUACCACAUCUAUUUAGUUGCCACCAAAAUUUAAUUUUCCAGUUCGCUAAAACUCUUUUUUAAUUUAACACAAAAUGUACCAAGCACGUGAGUAAAUUAAACAAGUGUUCGUGGGCAAAGUCGCAGCAAUGAUGAUCCGGAAUGUUUUCCCACGAAACAAAAAGUACAGCGCUGGAAAAAGGUCGUGUUGCUCCCAGUUCCUGAUACCCAGAAUUGCACUCGUAACCCUAUCGGCCUAUAUUAGCCAAGCAAAAGUGGAGUGAGUAUAAAAUAAAAUAAACUUUGAGACUCCUUAGGAUUCCCGAAAAUACGGCAGACAGUUUGGGGCUCUGACUCCCUCCAAUCAUGCUGUACACCCUGCAGCUUUUUUUGAGGCUUUGGCAAUCAUUGAGAUGGACAGCGUUUGUGAAGUGAAAAAAUGUCCAUUACGUAGACAAAUUCAUCGGGACAUCCAUUCUAGAAAAGAUUUAGACAAAAAAGAAUCCAGUUGGAAACGUACAAACACUAAACUCUUUUGUCUUGCAAGAAGCCGACGACGUUAGAAAUCAUGCAAAUCAAUUUUGAUUGCACUGAACCACUCAGCUUAGAUUCCUCUGCGGAUUAAGAUUCUUCUUUGGACAGUAGAUUAGAGGUUCGAAGUCUACCACUGCAGUGAAAAAAAAAUUCAUUCAAAGUAGGUGUCAAAACACCCCUUUGAUCUAAUACGUUCUUAUACCUAUUAGUCCCUUAUGCACAGUAUUUUUAGCCUCCUCUCUUCCCUGGAUUAGGAUUAAACUAUUAAGUUAUAAAAAUGUUAUCAGUACCGUUAAAAAAAAAAAAAAAAACUUUAAUUGCGCUGCACCAACGUAAAGUAGCCAGCAAUUUGGAUUAAAGAAUUCUAAUUUGGCUUCGUAACGUCUCAUUUCCUACUCAUGUCAAUGAAUUACAGCAGCCCCCUUUUUUUUAAAAAAAAAAAAAGAAAAAGAAAAAGCUGCUUCUGCUCAAGAAGUGUAAACAUGGAGUAUCGUAACCAAAAAUAGUAUGUGCAAGUAUAUCAUGUGGUGUAUGUGUACUGUAUUUUGAGCUCUUUUCCCCCCCCCCCCGCCCCCCUUUUAAGGAGGGGGAGAAUUGAGUUUAAGAAGCUGGUAAUGAAAAUAGAAAUCGGAAUCCAGGGCCUCUGAGUGUUAGUAACUUAACCUCAACUGCAAGAGCUGGAAAUGCAUAAUGUAUCCAUUUCCGGGUAGAAAAAGGCUGCGAGUCUCUAAAUUUUGGUAGUCCUUUUGGGGCUGAAAAAGAAAAGUUUGUCGGCCGUCGACGAAUUGUACGCACAACCGUUAUCGAACUGCACAACGGUUCAUUAGCAGUUCAGCAAUUAAUGUCAUUUUAUGUAUGUACUCCUCGUACGGACUCCUACCAUCCAAACAGCUAGCUGUUACUCUAAACCAGCUUCAUAUUAUAGUUUCAUUUAAUAUAACCCCUUGAGAACCCCCUGGUGGGUACACACAUUUCUGGUAGAUUCAGGAUCAUAUUCUGUUUAAAUGAAGCUUCAACAUUUUCAUUAAACCUGGCCUCUUCUUGUACAUAAAUUAUAAAGUGAGGUGCUCCACCUUCCAUUGUAAGAGCAACCCUGCUUUGCGACAAUAAAUAGUCGACAUGUUCUAUCAAACUAAUGAAAAAGACUACAAAUAGUAGUGUCUCGGCUACUACUCCGCUUGUUUCUCCAACUAAGAAUAAACAUGACAUAUAUCAUCAUCAGUCAAAUACAUUGAAUUGCUAUAUUAAAAUGUGGAGACCAAGCAGCCCAAUACAAAAUAGCUGCUGGAGAUCUUAAUAUCUUAAACAUACUUGCCUCUAUAUUUUGGCUUUGAUUCCUUGCUCAAUUUUGUGCCCCCUGCAGCAUUAAGCUGCAAGUCAAGCGGACUAAAGACGGCUGAAUGAAGAUUGCCAUCUUCCAACCACUUGAGAUGGUUUUCCCUGAACUCCAAAUGUUUGAUUCUAGCGGCCUCUGCAAUAUCAUCUGUAUAUGGCGCAAUCUUCACCAUGGUUAACAACACACGACUGUACCUGAAGCUUAGGAUCUGCUCACAGCUUGCAACCAUUUUCAAACAUGGGUGCUCGGGAAAACUGGUAUCAAUUGUGUCUUCCUCUCUCAGUACAGGAUAGAAGUACACAAGCCUUCCACCCAUUACAAGCAUCCUAGCAGCAAGGUCAAGCAAGUCGUGUACACACUCCACUAAGCUGUAAGGAGCAGUGGAAGGUAUGUGGUCAUUCCUUUUGUCAUCAGGAACUGUAUACGGGCCCACUACCCCUUUCAAAAGCUUUCUGCCACCAGAUUUACGGCCCCCAGCACGAACUCCAUAAGGAGGAUCACAUAUUAUACAAUCAAACACCUAAAAGAAGCAUAACGAAAUUCAUAAACCAUGCAGGCAAAGAACAUGCCCAAACACAAUCACGGGCAUACAAGUCUAACGAAUGAAAAAUGCUGUGCAUAAACGUACAGGCAGGAGCUUCUUUGUUUUUUCUUUUUUAAUGCCAAACUCCAAGGCGACCAGCUACUAGGUUCUAUUACUAGGACCACCCUACUACACAGGGAAACCCUAUUCCAUUUAGCUCAGACAUAGGAUAUAUAAUACAAUUCCAUUGUCCCUGCCAAAUAAAGCUAUCUUACUUCUUGUAUUCAUAAAUCUUGACUAAAAGCAAGAGAAUGCAUUCACAAGUUAAUACAACUCCUCUGCUUCAAAACAGCAGUGGAUGGCAGAUAUUUUAACUCUACAUCUGAGACUUUACCACCAAGAGAAAUAUGUUUUGUUCAUUGUCUGCUAUCCAGGUAAUGAUGGAAGAGAAUUUAGUCUUCUCUAUAAUGCUGGAGGGAUAGAAGGACAUGCGAAGUUUAGCCAUGACAAAGACUACCAGCCUUAGCAUUUUCUUAGGACUUGUGGGUCAAGAGGAAAACAAAAGAUUUUAAGGAUAAAAUGUCACAUGAAAGUCCUUGCUUAAUCUAUUCCAGGAGUAAGUAGUUCAUCCCACACAGUUAUUGAUAUGCUGGUGGACUACAGUGGUACAUUUUAAGCUAAUCCUUGUACCAGAUUUGUUUCAAGCUCUUUUAACUGGAGAAGGGGGAAAAACUGUCAUUUAUUGUCCUUGACCAGGAUUACUUACCUCCUUUAGUCCAGGACGCCAAGGCGGGAGGUUGUUGUCUGCCCUCAACAGAGAAAUUAGCAUGGGCAAUCCAUACUGCUACGAAAGCCAUAUAGAUGAGCACUACUUUGUAAGUAUUCACAAAAAAAAUGUUGAAGUACAAAGUUUGACUGCAUAAAACAAGAUAAAAAUAAUAAUCAUAAUAAUAGAAAGUCAAUUUCCGUAUCUUAACCUGUUUGAAAUUGGUCCAGACAUUACAAUCAGGACCACGACCAUCACGAACUACGCGAAUAUCGAUAUCUGCACCCUGAGAAAUUCACAUUAAUGGCACGCAAAAGCAAAAGAAAUCUUAAUUUUUUCAACCAAAUGUAAGGUAUUCAACCAGAAAUGUUAUGCGAAACAAAGCCUAGUAACAGAAGUUUUAGUGCACAUAAAAUUACACACCAUUGUCAUUGCUCCAAAAUGAGCUGCAGCAAUCAGGAUGCUUCCAGUACCAACAAAAGGAUCAUAGACAAGUUUCCCAGUUUUGGCCUGUGCUUGAUUGGCCAUCAGGAAAGCCAUCUCUGCAUCCAUGGCUGUGGGACCAAGGUAAGUGCGGCUUUUUAAUUGGUAAGUUGGCAGAAGCUUCCUAUCUGCAGCCCCAAUCUCUCGACCAAAAAAAAUUCUUCUGCGGAAAAUGGGAGGAAGCCCAUUGUUAGAUCCGUAAUUAUCAGUUUCCAUGAGCCAGAACUUGUGAUCAGGGUGGCUUAGAUUGACCUGACCCUGUAAGAACCAAGGUCACUUAGCAUCUGCUAACAACAGGAACUAUCACCCCAAAAAAAAAAAAAAGAGGAAGAAAGUUGGCAACUUCUAUGAACAAUGAUCCUUUCACCACAUUAAGAGGGACUAUGCAAAGAUCUGUACGUAUGUCCAAAGAUGACAGUAACCUUUACAGGUCUCACAAUUACCACCAUAGCUUAAUGCAGAAAAAGAAACACAAAAGUAAUGCUAGACCAAGAAAAUUUUAUGUACUUGCUGGUACCCACUAUCAUACCCUUCUUUCCCAAAACAUUAGAGAAACGAGAUAGGAAAGUUAUCAGUACAUCGAGAUUCUUAAAGGCAAAACAGAGCAAUUUAUCCAAGAUUGGUGUAUCAACGAAACAGAAGAGAAAGUAAGACCAUGGAGCAGAUGAAACACCUGAAACUCAAUUUCAGACACAAGACUGCAUGAGACUUUUCCUUUUAACCGGAAACUGCAAUAGUCAAAAAGUAGCACCCAGCACCACUUUGCAAGAUAUUAGAACACCUACCCACUUUUAAAUACUAAAAUUUACUUUGCAAUUCCAAUCAAUCAGGAAUACACUUUGUGAAACCAAAAUUCCUAAAAUAACUUUGACAUCAUACUCAUGAUGGGGGGAAAUGCACUAUGUUGUGCCCCUAAUAAUGAGACAAUCAGAAAGGGAUACACAGAUACAGCUUCACAACUGUUUGGCAUAUGGGGAGGCAACCUUGCGGACUUAUCAAUGUUGGAGAUUUCAUAAUGUCUGAGUUCCUUUCACAUUGUUCUUACAAGUUACGAUUUUCAGAAAAGGAAGGCAAAAAGGAAAAAGGAAUUUUAAGAAAACAAAAAAGAUAUCAUAAAUAGCUACAAUCUUAUCUUCCAACAGGAAGCAUGCAGAAGUAAGGCUAGUUCAAAGAACCAAAAAAAAUUCGUAGCAUAGUCUACCAUCUAUCAAAAUAAUCCAAAUUAAAAGCCAUGCAAGGUAUCAUCUGACAUGAACAACAGAUAAUCUAAGCAACAGAAAAAGGAGAGGAUCAGAUCCUUAUACAAAUAGAAAAGGAGAUAACCAAACCUUAAAUGGAAUGUAAGAGAGCUGUUGAAUACGAUCAUUCUGCUCUUGAAAGCUAACAACUUUCCCAAAACUGUCCACAGUAAUCUUGAAUGUGCUUUCAGAUGUAAGGUAUGGCAACUUCUGCUCAUCUGGACAACUUUUUAUAGCCUCUUCCAGCUCCUCAAAGCUACUUCCUUCACCCCAGAGCUCAUAAAUCCCCUUUACAAGAAUGCCUAAACAUCCAAGACUUCAAUUCGUCAUAUACUCAUUCACGCUUCAAGGUGACUAUUGACAAUAAGGAAAUGAUUGUGUUGAAUCACAGGAAAAUCUAAAUUGAGCUCCAACCAAAAGGAAAAAUGGAUAUUUAUGGAAAAUUCUGAUCUGAGUCAAUGUCUAGUUAAACAAUCCCAAGAUAUAACAUGAUUUUCAACUUCCUUAACAAUCACGGUUAACUCCUUCAAAUGGAGUAAAUAUUCUCUGCUUUUAUGCAAGAAAUGAGAAGCAUGCAAGGAUACGGAUAUUAAAUUGCAUAUAUGACAAGAAUGAUGAGGCGCAUAUAACAAUCCAGAACAAAGAUUAUCAACGAAUUAGCUGUAGGGGCUGUUGUCAACUAGCAUAUUAACAUUUGUCUGGACACCGUGCUUCUCUACAACCUAAAUGAAGAUCUAUAAAAACUCGGCAGUACCCAUAACCAAUUGAAAAGAAAAAUUUUAGUCUAAUUUUCUUUAGCUAUAAAACUUACUCUUCUUCUUAAAAGCAAGCUAACAAAAACAUACCAUCCACUGCAAACAACAUAUUAUGAGGAGAAUAUAUUCAAGCGCAACAGCUAUUACAGCCACUUCAGUUUAAGCAGCAAGAUUCCAGUAUUCUUUUCCCCUUCUACUACGAGAAGGCCCCAAAGAAAAAACACAAUAAAUUAUCAAACUAACAAAAAUAAUUGGAGGUAAAUAUAGUAAAUAAUAAACAAAAGAAUGUAUUAGACGAACAAAAGGAGAUGCCUUGUUGCUUACUUCUAUUGGCUAUAUUGCAGGCGAUUUGUUCAGAUGGGAGAUUAACAAAAUGGAAGGGAGAAUCAGGGUGGUGGUCCUCUGGAAGCCUCCACUCAAGCGACUUCGAUUGUGGGUCGGUUUCUUUAUCAAAGGCCCCAAAGAGGUCUGCUAGAGAUUCCACCUCCGGCCUUCUGUAGUCCAGCAACCUGUGGUAAAAUACGCAUAGAUACCACAUUAUUUUGUGCUUCCUUAUCUUUUGCUAACUUUUAUUUUUCGCAGAGAUAGUAGGACAGAGUGGUGGUCGCCCAAGUUGUUAACAGCGGACGGCGGCUGCCGGAUGGCGGCGGAGGAGCUGUACUACUCCUCCAGGAGUGAGGUGUUCCGAUACCAAUAUCCAAAACCCAAAACGCCAAAGCCCUGCCACCGCGCAAGGAUGUUCCGCUAAUAAGUUUAGUCACGCGUUCUUUUCUAAGUUAAAUUAAAAAUAUGUGGGUUACUCCAAUUUUUGGCAUCAAAAUACAACUAGCAACAUUUAUUGGUUUUUAUUAAUCGAAAGUGUUGCGGCAUCAAAAAUUCCACCUAAAUAUUUUUUUUUAUUGAAUUUGACCUUCAAAAUAUCAAUUCAGUUGGAAUUAAGAGUUUAUAUUGAAUGCAGCAACGUUCAAGAAAUCUCAUUAAAAUUAAGAACUUGUACCGACUGUGAAUCUCAAAAAAUUAAAUUCAGUUAAAUUUGAAAUUUUGUGUUUGAAUGCAAAUUCAAAAAAUUAAAUUAAAUCACACGCAAAAACUUUUUACUGAAUGUGAUAUUCAAAAUAACUACGUUGGUUAAGUUAAGAUUUUGUAAUCAGUGUGGUGCCCAAGAAAUCAUAUUCAGUUAAUAAAAAAUUUUGUCGUAAACAUGACUUUUAACGGAUCAAAUUAAGUUAAAUUCAAAAUUUUGUAUUGAAUUCAAAGUUUAAGGAUCAGGUUAAACCUAAAAAUUUUUGUCGAAUGUGACCUUCACAAUAUCAAAUUUAUUUAAAAUCAAGAAUUCAUACUGAAUGUGAUGUUCAGUAAGUCACAUUCAGUUUACUUACAUCCAAACUUCGUAGCAAGUGUGACUUUCAACAAAUCAAAUUUAAUUAAAUUCAAAGUUUUGUACUAAAUCUCUUUUGCAUUUUGCAGGUGUUUGCAUCCAUAUGCUUAUUAUUGUAUACACACAUUGAAAAAUCUGUACGUAGUAGUAUGCAAUUUAAAUAUUUGACUGAUUAUAUAUAGUAGUAACUCUUUAAGUUAAUUGGAUAUUAAGUACCACUCAUUCCAACAGUUGGCUAUAUUUUGAAUCGAAAUAAUUGUCAAUCAAUUAUGUUUUGAUAAUACUUUGAUGAAUUGGCAAUCAUUAAGCCUUCAUCAUCCUGUUUAAAAACUGGCAAAACCUUCGUGCAAAAUAUCCUUUUUGAAGUCGUGUGAUUUUGUCCGCCCAAUCGACGGUUAAUAAGGCAGAAGAUAAGCAACAACUGCCUAUUUCUUUUAUAUCACAUAUAUAUAUAUAUAUGUCCUAAUAUGCAGUAGUACAUCUAAGUCGCGAAAGCCUUUCAAAUACACAUGCUGAUAUGCAACUAGGCAAGUAAAUCUGAAGCUGUUGAUUUCUUCUUGCCCCCUUUUUUCUCCCCACUCUCUCCCUUCCCACUUUACGUCUGGGGAAUAAAAAUUUGCAGCACAGAUGCAGAGUCAAACAUGCCU
rnacentral:lncRNA from 1 species